GUCUAUGGCCAUGCUACCCUGACCACACCCGAUCCCGUCUGAUCUCAGAAGCUAAGCAGGGUCAGGCCUGGUUAGUACUUGUAUGGGAGACCACCUAGGAAGACCAGGUGCUGUAGGAA
rnacentral:rRNA from 1 species